GGUGGGAGCGAGCUUGCUCGCGAUGGCGGAGUGUCAGCCGGUAUCAAUGCUGGACGUGCCGGCCUCAUCGCGAGCAAGCUCGCUCCCACA
rnacentral:misc_RNA from 1 species